rnacentral:piRNA from 1 species
UCAACCUAGCAACAUUUGUGCUGUGUGU